UGACAGCAGCUUGUCUCAUCUGGCAUGAGUGCUGGAGCAGAGGUACUGAAUGAGGAAGUGGAGUCUUGGGAUACCUUUGGAGGGAUCCAGUUAAUGGACUGGCUGCCAUAAUUGGUCUGAGACACUGGUGCAAGCAUGGAGAUGACGACACAGAUACUAUCCAGAGGGAUGACCAGGUGAAGAAUGACCAGGUGAAGACACAGAAAGAAGACCCCCUUCUACAAGCCAAGGAGAGAGGCCUCAGAAGAAACCAACCCUCACAACUCCUUGAUCUCACACUUUCAA
rnacentral:lncRNA from 1 species